rnacentral:rRNA from 1 species
AAACAUGUCUUUUUGAGUUAUAUUUAAAGUCUAACCUGCCCACUGAGUAAUUUUAAAUGGCCGCAGUAUUUUGACUGUGCAAAGGUAGCAUAAUCAUUAGUCUUUUAAUUGAAGGCUGGAAUGAACGGUUGGACGAAGUAUAAGCUGUUUCAUAUAGAUUUACUAUAGAAUUUUAUAUUUUAGUUAAAAAGCUAAAAUUUUAUUAAAAGACGAGAAGACCCUAUAAAUCUUUAUAUUUUACGUUAUUUAAAUUUUUUAGAUUAAUUUUAUUUUUAUAAUAUAAAGUAUUUUGUUGGGGUGAUAUUAAAAUUUAAUGAACUUUUAAUUAUUUAAAAUCAUUAAUUUAUGAGUUAUUGAUCCAUUAAUAUUGAUUAUAAGAUUAAGUUACUUUAGGGAUAACAGCGUAAUUUUUUUUGAGAGUUCAUAUCGACAAAAAAGUUUGCGACCUCGAUGUUGGAUUAAGGUAUAAUUUUGGGUGUAGCUGUUCAAAUAUUAAGUCUGUUCGACUUUUGAAUCCUUACAUGAUC